UAACUUAUGGUGAUGGAGUUGAGAGCUGUUCUGCUUGCGAAAAGUGCCCAUGUUAUGUCCCUCAUCAUUUGAUACAGCUGCCGAGAAUCGAAAUACAACCAAAUGAAUGUCAUAGCGAUUGAUUACAUAUUCAGAAAGCUUAACUUGUGCCAUCGUGAUUUCAACUGUGGAAUUUAAUAUAUUCCACAUUCUUAGUAUGGGUCGCUGCAGGAGCUCGUAACGGAGUCCAUAUGCCAAGCUGUUUAUGGAGUUCGUUGUAUAUACCCUUGUAAAAUGCCAGGACAAGCGCUUUUUCUCUGGAAAUUAAGUAUGGGUGAUAUAACUGAUUGUGUUCCGUGAAUUUGAGGAAAUAAUCUUAACUUCUUCACUCAACGGGAGCCAAAACAAACGGCAGAGAGAAGUUCAAACCAUGA